CCGUUUUCCUCACGUAGUGCAACACAUUUCCUUCAUGGUAGCAAUAAAUUGGUCCACUCUUCAAUGGCUGUGCCAAGUUGCUGGAUAUUGACAGGAAAUGGAACAUAAUGUCGUAUACGCCGAUCCACAGCAUCCCAAACGUGCUCAAUGGGUAACAUGUCCGUUGCAGAAUUGUAUUAUGUAAAUGAGGCUGCCUCAUUCAUCAAGGACUGUGAUGAUGAAGCUGGCCAGACAGGGACGUCAUCUGGACACAGAUCAGAGGGAAGACAGAGGCUGGAACCGGCGGAGCAGAUGUGGAUAUUAUGAUCCAUGGCAGGAGAGAAGAGACUAGGUCCGUGUCCAGGCAGAUGAUCCAUGGCAGGAGAGAAGAGACUAGGUCCGUGUCCAGGCGAGGGUCGGAAAUCGAGGAAAGCAGUCCAAAACACCGGGGAAACGACAGGGGGUCUGGAAGGGAAAGACUCGGGAAGGCGCUGCGGGAGAGCAACGCGGACUUCAGAAAACACGGAGGGAAACAACACAGAGAUAGAGCAUAGGGCUUACGGUACACAAAGAGCUAACUAAGUUCCCGCGCUAGUCCUUGGGUCCACUGAUCCUUUAUCCAGCUCGCCCUUAUCACACCAGGUGUGCAGAUUGCCGAUUGUUUGCAGGCUUGUCGCUGCUUGGGUGUGCUGCACUCAGCGUGAGCGGAGGUGCGUCCGGGCAAGCAGCCAGAUGAGGAACUGUGACACUCAGUUGCAGGAGGG